rnacentral:rRNA from 1 species
UACGUAGGGUGCGAGCGUUGUCCGGAAUUAUUGGGCGUAAAGAGCUCGUAGGCGGUUUGUCACGUCUGCUGUGAAAUCCCGAGGCUCAACCUCGGGCCUGCAGUGGGUACGGGCAGACUGGAGUGCGGUAGGGGAGAAUGGAAUUCCUGGUGUAGCGGUGGAAUGCGCAGAUAUCAGGAGGAACACCGGUGGCGAAGGCGGGUCUCUGGGCAGUAACUGACGCUGAGGAGCGAAAGCCAGGGGAGCAAACGGG